CCUCUAAAAUAUUGAAGGUGAAACCUGCCCAAUGAUAUAAAAACAAUUAUAAUCUAAUUAAAACAAUAUUAAAUGGAUGCAGUAACUCUGACUGUAAUAAAGUAGCAUAAUUAGUUGUCAUUUAAUUGAUGGAGAGAAUGAAUGGUUACACGAAUAUUUCACUGUCUUAAAAAAAAUUUUUUAAAAUUGAAAUAAUAGUUAAGAUGCUAUUUAAAAUUGUAAGACGAAGAGACCCUAUAGAGCUUUACUAUAAACUUUUUUUUCAAAAAAUAAUAAAAAAUUAUUAGAAUUAGAAAGUUUGGUAGUUUAGUUGGGGCGACUGUUUUUUAAAAAUAACAAAAAUAAGCAAUAUAAUAAAUUUAUUUAUUGUAUAAUUAAAAAAUUUAACAAUUACUAUAGUAGGCUAUAAUGACCCGUUAUUAUGAUAAACAACAAAUAACGAUUAAUUAAUAAAAGCUACCUUAGGGAUAACAGGAUAAUUUUGUUUUAGAGUCCUUAUCAAAAACAAAGUUUGUCACCUCUAUGUUGAAUUAAGAUAUCCUAAUAAUGCAGUAGUUAUUGAAGGUAGGUCUGUUCGACUUUUAAAAU
rnacentral:rRNA from 1 species